AUUCUGAUCAUGCUAGGAAUGUAAUCAAGUCCCUCUGUGGAGAUAAGUUAAUUAUCUCCGCAGGCUGUGAACAAACACACGGGUUUGGUUUCUGACCAUGUUGCCUAAUGAGAGGGCACCCCCCACAGGAGCUGGAGGGCUUGUCGGCCACCACCCCAGGGCCCUUGAUGGCAUCUGGGAGUCCUGGUUUUAAAUGAUCUGGCCUUUGUCCCCCGGCUCCCCCAUCACACAUGCUUCUAGCAAUAUAGCACUGAACACAGAAAUGGGCUCUCUCCAGUCUCCUCCGGCCAGCCCAGCCGUGCCCUGAUGGAUAAGGGCUGGGUUCCCAGAGCUCCCCAGCACCUCCUGCAGCCCAGCACACCCCCCAGCUCAGGUUGUCCCCCUGGAAAGCUGAUCCGGCUUCGCUGAGCCUCCUGAGAUAGAUAAGGGAGUAAAUCAGCUUUUCUGUCCUCCAUCACUGGGCUGCCAGGGACAGCAGGACCCAAAGACUCAAACAUAAAUCACCUGCCUAUCUCCAUGUUUUAAACUUCAGCUUUAAUCCAGCUCAGAGUGGGAUUAGCUGCCUCAGAGACUGCUAAUUGCCAGAUGGCCGCUGAUAGCCGACCAGGGAAACGUGUGUGUCAGAGCCUGCCAUGAAGCCCUAGGAAGUCAGAACUGGAAGGGAUCUUAGGGAGGCCGGCCAACCCUUCACUUCUUCACCAUUGCGAUGGGGACACAGGCAAAGUGGCUCGCUCCUGGAUGCACACUUAAGGAUACUUACUCUGUGCAAAGAGUCCUGGUUACUAGUUUUACAGAAAAAGUGCUAGGAAAUCUGAGCAGUCCCCCAGAGGGCCAAGUGUACUGCUGUUAUCCUCAGAUCACACAGAUACAGCAUUCGGUGAAGCAUGUGACCCAGAAACAGAGGUUAUCCUUGCCCGUGGGCCAGAGCUCACCAGUGGUCCAGAUACCAACUUGUUGGUCCAGGAGCACCAACUGGUCCAAGCUCCUGGGCCACUGUCACAAGUAUGGAAGUGCAUGAGGCAUGCACCACCCAGGCUAGUCCCCCAGGACUUCUCAGGAUGCAGAGAAGGAAGGGGACACAGCUCUAUCCCAGUAUGAUGCUUGCAGUUGUGGUUCCACAUGAUUCAACACUGAGCUCCCAAGGCUGCCAUUUCUCUACGUGGUACAUUUCUCCUGCACUCGCUACUUUCCCUAAGGACCUUGCACGGGGCUCAGGUGACUGAGUCCCAGAGCCUCCAGACUCAGCCGCACACCCUGCCUGGACAUCCUGCCCCACACACUCAGCUUCCUGGCCCUCAGGAGAAAAAGCGGUCCUCUCACUCAGUCCAAGGCCUACCUGUGCCUGUCUACUGUUAUUAGUCAUUCUAUUUUUAAAGGGAAAGUCUGACUUUGUGAAACGCAAGAUGACCUGAUGAAGUGAAACCAAAGCAAACCAAAUCCUGCCAAGCAAAAAGAAGUGUGUUCCAUCAUUAAGUAAUGAUUAUUUCAGGAAUGCAGAGAUAGCUAAAUAUUAGGGGAAAUUUUAAAACAUCGUAUCACGAAACCAAAGGAGAAAAAAUAACACUGCUUCUUAAAAAAUAAGUAGGUGACUUCAAUAGCAUUUGAAGUGAGAAAAAGAUUUAAGGGACUAGAUCUGAUAGAU
ensembl:lncRNA